GAUGACGCUGACAGAAUGCUUAACACAUGCAAGUCAACUUGAAUUUGGGUUUUUAACUUAGAUUUGGGUGGCGGACGGGUGAGUAACGCGUAAAGAACUUGCCUCACAGCUAGGGACAACAUUUAGAAAUGAAUGCUAAUACCUGAUAUUAUGAUUUUAAGGCAUCUUAGAAUUAUGAAAGCUAUAAGCACUGUGAGAGAGCUUUGCGUCCCAUUAGCUAGUUGGAGAGGUAACAGCUCACCAAGGCGAUGAUGGGUAGCCGGCCUGAGAGGGUGAACGGCCACAAGGGGACUGAGACACGGCCCUUACUCCUACGGGAGGCAGCAGUGGGGAAUAUUGGACAAUGGACCGAGAGUCUGAUCCAGCAAUUCUGUGUGCACGAUGAAGUUUUUCGGAAUGUAAAGUGCUUUCAGUUGGGAAGAAAAAAAUGACGGUACCAACAGAAGAAGUGACGGCUAAAUACGUGCCAGCAGCCGCGGUAAUACGUAUGUCACGAGCGUUAUCCGGAUUUAUUGGGCGUAAAGCGCGUCUAGGUGGUUAUGUAAGUCUGAUGUGAAAAUGCAGGGCUCAACUCUGUAUUGCGUUGGAAACUGUAUAACUAGAGUACUGGAGAGGUAAGCGGAACUACAAGUGUAGAGGUGAAAUUCGUAGAUAUUUGUAGGAAUGCCGAUGGGGAAGCCAGCUUACUGGACAGAUACUGACGCUAAAGCGCGAAAGCGUGGGUAGCAAGCAGG
rnacentral:rRNA from 1 species